UACAGAGGUCUCAAGCGUUGUUCGGAUUCAUUGGGCGUAAAGGGUGUGUAGGUGGCGCGCUAAGUCGGGUGUGAAAUUUCGGAGCUUAACUCCGAAACUGCAUUCGAUACUGGCGUGCUUGAGGACUGGAGAGGAGACUGGAAUUCAUGGUGUAGCGGUGGAAUGCGCAGAUAUCAGGAGGAACACCGGUGGCGAAGGCGGGAUCCUGGGCCAGUACUGACGCUGAUGCGCGACAGCGUGGGGAGCAAACAGG
rnacentral:rRNA from 1 species